UACAGGCGCGCGCCAACACGUUCGGCUAGUUUUCGUAUUUUUAGUAGAGACAGGGGUUUUGCCACGUUGGCCAGGCUGGUCUCGAACUCCUGACCUUAGGUGAUCCACCCGCCUCGGCCUCCUAAAGUGCUAGGAUUACAGCUACCCCUCACGCCUGGCUAGUUUGUCCUUUUGGUGGGGACUUUUUAUUGUAUGCGGGUUGCGCUGAAAAAGACCGCCAUUCGUCCCUCGCCCUGCAGGCGCCGCUGCCGCCUCGCCUCGGGUGUGGACCCUGCGGCCUGAGCGCGUGCACCCCGAGGUUGUCUCACUUCCUGUUCAGGUCGACCAAGCCGGCACUGCGCCCUCCCCACUCCACAGAUGAGGAAGCUGAGGUUAAAGUCACUUGCCCUAGGUCACUCCGCAAGUUGAAGCGCUACCAGGAUACUCUGGAACAGGAUGCCUGACCUCAGAGGAGAGGCGUGUAACCACCAGGCAACUGGCCCCACGAAACAAGUCCCACAACUUCCUUUCUUUGACUCCUACUUGCUCCUGGAAGAAAAGCCUUAAAUGAGAUCCUUGCUCAACCCAACCAGGCCAGCCCAGGGACUAGGGACGUAUACAGACACCUGCUUCAGGCAGUUCAGGGCAGACCACAGAGAUGUGACAUUACAGACUGUGUUGAGCAGAA